rnacentral:lncRNA from 1 species
UGGGGCACUUAUGGGGCAGGAGAGGCACUUGUGGGGCAGCUAUGGGGUCCCCCACCCCCAGACGUCGGCGAUGUCACCCUGAGCCCCCCCCACGCUCUGCCCCACGGCGCUAUGGGGUGCCCCACAACCGCCGCCGUUGAACUGAAGCUGAAAGGAGCCCCCCCACCCCCGACCCCCCCCAGCCCCACAUUUGGGGACCCUGAGCCCCACAGAUGCCACGUGUGGGGCUGGAGGGGUGGGGAAGGGAAAUGUGUGGGGCAGACCCCGAUGUGUGGGGCUGCAGCUGUGCUCUUUUUGCCCCUAAAUUGCUGUUUUUCACCCCAAAAUAAAGGAUAAAUGGGUUUGAGAG